GAGGGGGGCUGGGAGUGGACUGAUGGCUCUCCUUUCAGAUACAUCCACUGGAACUCAGGCAACCCAGACGACUAUGAAGGAGAGGAUUGCCUUUCCAUGCUCAUCAACACCGGCUACUGGAACGAUGACAACUGUGACUACAAUAGAGGAUACAUAUGCAAGCACAGAGGAAACACACCAGUUUCUCCUCCACCCCACGAUGGGUUUGAAAC